UCCCUCUGCUCUCCUUGUCACCAGCUGACCCCUCUUGCUGUCCCAGCACUACGCUGCUCUGUCUGCCCUGGCUCCAAAUCCCUCCUCCUCUCCCCCACUCUCAAACUGAGGAACUUCCCACUUUGCUGCCCCUCUCACUAUCUUGCAGUCCUUCAUCUCUCCGGAGAUGGCACUUUUCUCUGCAUUUCUUCAGUUGCUUUUCUCCCCCUGCUACUUUCUCGGCUUCAUUCGCUGUCUCUGCAAAUGCCCCAUCCACUUUCUACUUUGCCAUCUGCUUAGGGCUCUCCCUCAAUCUUCCUUUCUCCUUCAAGAUGUUUCUCUUUCUUCUCCCUCGCUCUCCAGAUCUCUCUUUCUGCACACAUGCACAUGGAAGGAAUUGGGAUCAGAUGCCCACAUGCAGAAGAACCUUUUCAGUGGGGUGUUAUUUAGACUGCAAGAACACUGGAUGCCAGAAGACAGAGUAAGUCACCUCCCCACACCCAGGGUCAGGAGAAGCGGUGGCUGGGAAGAGGAGGCCUGGGAAGUAGCGGGGCCCCGGAUCAAGGAGGGUCUGGAUCAAGGGAGGGGUGGCGUCUGCAGAAUCCCAGGACUCGGCAGAAGACGCGGCUUCUCCUGGACUGCGAUUGGAGCGCUGCGCUCCAGGGUCAACAAAGGCGAGGCUUGGGGGACCUGAUAGACCGGAAUCCACCUAGCGGGGGAGGACUUUACGCGGUGCGGGGCGGAUGUAGGCAUCACAGAAGAAUUUGAAGCAGGAAAACUCCUCGAUAGGAGGUGACUACAUGGCCCUGUGGCAGAAAGACGGGGGACAGGACCCGCCGCGGAGCGAUUUAAACACACAGGGAAGCGACCGCGGGACUCUCACAGAGACGCCUGAAUUUGGUCGGGGUAGAGGGAGCGGUGCCAGGAUUUCAAGGAGACCUGCCAAGGAGGCUGAAGCAACUCAGCUGUCUCCGCGCUGUACUCUUGCCGGGACAGAGCAAAGUCUGCUGAUGAUUAGAUCCAGGAAAAUUCCUGCUAUUAAAGUUAACCUUAAGCCGGCUGUGGGGUGGGGCACCUGUACCAGCUACCCCGAAGACUGAGGCAGGAGGAUCGCUUGAGCCCAGGAGUUCGAGUUUACACUGAGUUAUAAUGGCCACUGCGCUCCAGCUUGGGCGACAGAGACUCAGUCUGUAAAAUAAAUACAUGAAAAACUAAUUUUAGCAAUUUAAUUAAAAAGCCCUGGGAUUGUCUGUGAAAGCUGUGGGGAAAAGAAAGAGAGAUCAGAUUGUUACUGUGUCUAUGUAGAAAAGGAAGAUAUGAGAAACUCCAUUUUGAUCUGUACUAAGAAAAAUUGUUUCUGUUUUUCUGCUAACCUGUAGAUGCUGUUAACCUGUAACUUUAGCCCCAACCCUGUGCUCACAGAAACAUGUGCUGUAAUGAAUCAAAGUUUAAUGGAUUUAGGGCUAUGCAGGAUGUGCCUUGUUAACAGUAUGUUUGCAGGCAGUGUGCUUGGUAAAAGUCAUCACCAUUCUCCAUUCUCGAUUAACCAGGAACACAAUGCACUGCGGAAAGCCGCAGGGACCUCUGCCCAAGAAAGCCUGGGUAUUGUCCAAAGUUUCCCCCCAUGGAGACAGCCUGAGAUAUGGCCUCAUGGGAAAGGAGAGACCUUACAUCCCCCAGCCCGACACCCAUAAAGGAUCUGUGCCUACACUGAGAUGUUUGGGUAAAGAGAAACAUAAAUCUAGCCUAUGUGCACAUCCGGGCACAGCACCUUUCCUUGAACUUAUUCAUGAUACAGAUUCCUUUGCUCACAUGUUUCCCUGCUGACCUUCUCCCCACCUGUUGCCCUGCUACACUCCCCUCACUAAGAUAGUAAAAAUAGUGAUCAAUAAAUACUGAGGGAACUCAGUACAGUACCGGCGCCAGUGCAGGUCCUCCGUAUGCUGAGCGCCGGUCCCCUGGGCCCACUGUUCUUUCUUUAUACUUUGUCUCUGUGUCUUAUUUCUUUUCUCAGUCUCUCAUCCCACCUGAGGAGAAAUACUCACAGGUGUGGAGGGGCUGGCCCCCUUCAAAAACCAGGCAAGUGAAUACGUGAACUGCAAAGCCCUGUCUGGGUGGAAUGUGCAAUUUCAUGCUGAUGGCUCACAAAGCAGAAUAGAAAUCCUCUCCUUUUCUAUUCCCUGUUCUUAUGGGAGGGACAGAGGUAACCCUGUGCUCAGCUCCAGAGAGUUUCCGAGUGACAGCACCUGGGGCAUGGAGGGCUAAGGCCAGUGAGAAUUCAGGUCACCAAUUGUUGCUUUUAAAAAAGCGUUAACUGACCGGGCGAGGUGGCUCACACCUGUAAUCCCAGCACUUUGGGAGGCCAAGGCAGGUGGAUCACUUGAGGUCAGGAGUUCGAGACCAGCCUGGCCAUGAUGGUGAAACCCUGUCUCUACUAAAAAUACAAAAAUUAGCCGGGCGUGGUGUCGCAUGCGUGUAAUCCCAGCUACUUGAGGUGGAGGCAGGAGAAUCGCUUGAACCCUGGAGGCAGAGGUUGCAGUGAGCCAAGAUCCUGCCACUGCACUCCAGCCUGGGUGACAGAGCGAGAGAUAAAAAAAAAAAAAAAAACUUUAAAAAAUAGAUGUAAAUUACAUAGUUCUUAUUUACAUUUGUUAUUGUAUGUUAUUCUAUUCCAAUUUGAGAUGAAUGAACCUCAAAUCCCUUUCAGAUAAACUUAGUUGACAUUGUAAUAUGCUUACAUCAAUAAUUUCUAAGUAUACUGUAAUUUCAAAUUCACUUUAUAUGCAUUCUGAAAGUAACUAGAAAAUGUACUUUUAACAAUUGUGAUCCUUUUUUAGGUGUUUUCUUUUCUUAAUAUUCUCUCAUGUGGGAAUAACAAAGCCUGUAGAGAGUCUUCAGAAGACUACUGGAUUGAUUUUCACCAAAGAACAAUUUUGCAAUAAUGCUAAGAUUAUUUGGUGAGCAAGUUAUUCUUUUUCAUGUGAACGUAGAAGAAAGUAAAACUAAAUUAUCAAAAUUUAAACAGCCUCGUGUCUACUGGCAAUAAUUUUAUGGCAAUAUUUGUGAAUUCACAUGUACUAAUAAAUACGCUUUUCUCUCACA